CCAGAGAACUUAGCAGAGAUGCUUUGGUGCCUUCGGGAACUCUGAGACAGGUGCUGCAUGGCUGUCGUCAGCUCGUGUUGUGAAAUGUUGGGUUAAGUCCCGCAACGAGCGCAACCCUUAUCCUUUGUUGCCAGCGGCUCGGCCGGGAACUCAAAGGAGACUGCCGGUGAUAAACCGGAGGAAGGUGGGGAUGACGUCAAGUCAUCAUGGCCCUUACGGCCAGGGCUACACACGUGCUACAAUGGCGCAUACAAGAGAAGCGACCUCGCGAGAGCAAGCGGACCUCACAAAGUGCGUCGUAGUCCGGAUUGGAGUCUGCAACUCGACUCCAUGAAGUCGGAAUCGCUAGUAAUCGUAGAUCAGAAUGCUACGGUGAAUACGUUCCCGGGCCUUGUACACACCGCCCGUCACACCAUGGGAGGUGGGUUGACAAAAGAAGUAGGUAGCUUAACCUUCGGGAGGGCGCUUACCACUUUGUGAUUCAUGACUGGGGUGAAGUCGUAACAAGGUAGGCGUAGCGAG
rnacentral:rRNA from 1 species